rnacentral:tRNA from 1 species
CGGGGUGUGGCGCAGUGGUUAGCGCGCAUGGUUUGGGACCAUGAGGCCGCCGGUUCAAAUCCGGCCACCCCGACCA